rnacentral:rRNA from 1 species
UACAGAGGGUGCAAGCGUUAAUCGGAAUUACUGGGCGUAAAGCGCGCGUAGGCGGUUUUUUAAGUCAGAGGUGAAAGCCCAGUGCUCAACACUGGAACUGCCUUUGAAACUGGAAAACUUGAAUCUUGGAGAGGUCAGUGGAAUUCCGAGUGUAGAGGUGAAAUUCGUAGAGAUCGGGAGGAACACCAGUGGCGAAGGCGCCCUUCUGGACAGUUACUGACGCUGAGACGCGAAAGCGUGGGGAGCAAACAGGAUUAGAAACCCCGGUAGU